rnacentral:rRNA from 1 species
GAUGAACGCUGACAGAAUGCUUAACACAUGCAAGUCUUUGGCGAAGCUGUGCUUGCACAGCCUAGCCAAGGCGGACGGGUGAGUAACGCGUAAGGAACUUGCCCUGCAGUCAGGGAUAACAGACGGAAACGACUGAUAAGACCUGGUAAAGUCAGGCGGACUCAUGUCCAGCCUGAUGAAAAGAGAUGCUGCAGGAGAGCCUUGCGUCCUAUUAGCUUGUUGGUGGGGUAACGGCCCACCAAGGCGAUGAUAGGUAGCCGGCCUGAGAGGGUGGACGGCCACAAGGGGACUGAGAUACGGCCCUUACUCCUACGAGAGGCAGCAGUGGGGAAUAUUGGACAAUGGGGGCAACCCUGAUCCAGCAAUUCUGUGUGCACGAUGAAGGUUUUCGGAUUGUAAAGUGCUUUCAGCAGGGAAGAAAAAAAUGACGGUACCUGCAGAAGAAGCGACGGCUAAAUACGUG